GUCUAAACAUGAAACGUGGUCUAAACAUGAAACGAGAAACGAGGUCUAAACAUGAAAUGAGAAACGAGGUCUAAACAUGAACGAGGUCUAAACAUGAAACGAGAAAUGACGUCUAAACAUGAAACGAGAAACGAGGUCUAAACAUGAACAAGGUCUAAACAUGAAACGAGGUCUAAACAAGAAACAAGGUCUAAACAUGAAACAAGGUCUAAACAUGAAACGAGAAACGAGGUCUAAACAUGAAACGAGAAACGAGGUCUAAACAUGAAAUAAAGUCUAAACAUGAAACAAGAAACAAGGUCUAAACAUGAAACGAGGUCUAAACAGUAAACGAGAAACGAGGUCUGAACAUGAAACAAGAAACGAGGUCUAAACAUGAAAUGAAGUCUAAACAUGAAACGAGAAAUGAGGUCUAAACAUGAAACGAGGUCUAAACAGGAAAUGAGAAACGAGGUCUAAACAUGAAAUGAGAAACAAAGUCUAAACAUGAAAUGAGAAACGAGGUCUAAACAUGAAACAAGGUCUACACAUGAAAUGAGAAACGAGGUCUAAACAUGAAACAAGAAACGAGGUCUAAACUUGAAACAACGUCUAAACAUGAAAUGAGAAAUGAGGUCAUAAACAUGAAACAUGAAACGAGGUCUAAACAUGAAAUGAGAAACGAGGUCUAAACAUGAAAGGAGAAACGAGGUUUAAACAUGAACGAGGUCUAAACAAGAAACGAGGUCUAAACAUGAAACAAGGUCUAAACAUGAAACGAGAAACGAAGUGUAAACAUAAAACGAG
ensembl:lncRNA